rnacentral:rRNA from 1 species
AGAGUUUGAUCAUGGCUCAGAUUGAACGCUGGCGGCAGGCUUAACACAUGCAAGUCGAACGGUAACAGAACUAGCUUGCUAGUUGCUGACGAGUGGCGGACGGGUGAGUAACGCGUAGGAAUCUACCGAAUAGUGGGGGACAACAGUUGGAAACGGCUGCUAAUACCGCAUACGCCCUACGGGGGAAAGGAGGGGAUCUUCGGACCUUUCGCUAUUUGAUGAGCCUGCGUGAGAUUAGUUAGUUGGUGGGGUAAUGGCUCACCAAGGCGACGAUCUCUAGCUGGUCUGAGAGGAUGAUCAGCCACACUGGGACUGAGACACGGCCCAGACUCCUACGGNAGNCANCAGUGGGGAAUAUUGCACAAUGGGGGAAACCCUGAUGCAGCCAUGCCGCGUGUGUGAAGAAGNCCUUCGGGUUGUAAAGCACUUUCAGU